rnacentral:lncRNA from 1 species
AUAUAGAGAGGUCAGAGGUGACACCAACUGGUGAUCAAUCAAGAAGAAUAAGCUAAAUCAUGUCCUAUGAUUCAGGGGAAGGUAUAUACCUGUGUGGAUCUGUACGUUUAUCUCCUCUGACCCUGAAUUUGUUCAUGUCAUAGCUAGCAGCAAUUACAUAUUACUUAGCUUACUUCACUAAUUGAAGGAAAAUGGCAGAUAUAGGGCUCCAUGCUUUUGGAAGAUGUGGAAUUCCAUGGCACUUGUAAUUUUUCUUCAGAAUCUGAUUAAUUAGCUAGCAUGGUACAAUCUACAACUUCCAAUGCUGAGAUAUGGAAGUAAAUUAAACUUGCCAUUGGCACCAGAAAAUAGUAGUUAAGUAGCUAGAGUACUAAUAACACGCUCAAAUAAACAGAAGAGAUACACUCCAGAAUCCAAACAUAGUACUUGACAUUAUAUUUAAUAAAGAGGUGAUAAAUACAAGAUAAGGUCUAAGUACCUAAUUAAGCCAUUUCUAGCUAAGCAGCGACAUUUGCACGCCCUAUAAACAUACAUACAUACUUAACUUGGGGUCACAAAUUAAUUAACAAGCAUAUAUAUAUAUAUUAUAUAAUGGUGAGAUUAUAUAAUGGAGCUGCAUAUAUAUAAACAGUAAAGGAUAUUAAUUAAACUAGUAGUGUGUGAUGGCGAUGGAGGAGAUGGAUGGAUCAGAAACCGACCCUCCUGCCGCCGCAGGAUGUACGGCGGGUUUUUGCGGCGGCAGUAGCCUUAGCCCGCCGCAGCUCCUCCGGCCAUGCCUUCUUGCCGUGCUUGUAGAGCACUUUGUUGCGUUUGUUCCGCAGGCGCUUCCUGCCGUUGGUGGCUGCAGCCGCUAUGAACUUCUUCUUGAGGUUGUACACCUUCUGGGAGAGGGCGGAGGCGUCGAGGCCACGGCGGAGCAGCGGCGGGCGCGCGGCCUGGAGCGCCCGGAGGAGCACGGCGGCUGCCGGCGGGUGGCCCAUGUUCUCCGUCCGCAGAGAGGCAAUGGUGUCGACGAUCUUGAUCUCGUCGUCCACCGCCCAGCGGCGGGGGGGGGGGGGCGCCCCCUCCGGCCCCGCCCCUCGUCAUCACCGCUGACGGAGGAGAGGACGAUUGCGACGGCGGAGGAAAGGACAACGGCUGAGGAGGAGGAGGAGGAGGAGGAGGAGCCGGAGGAGGAGGAGAUGAUGGGAGCCAUGGCCGGCGUGUGAGAUUGCUGUGGCUGGGGGCAAGCAGAGAGUCCCCGCAGAGUAGUGUAGUAGCAGUACUUGCUGCAGUCUGUCAGUAGAGUGGACUAAUUAGCAGUGGCACUUGGCGGGCAACCACCGCUCUUCGCGCGCAUAAUCCAAUCCAGUCACUAUUCGUUUUCAGUUAAGGCCCCGUUUAGUUAAAAAAAAAUUGGGACGCGGUCACGUAUUUAACAGAGAAUUCACUCAAAUUUACCCGGUUCCUUCUAAUCAUAUAAAAAAAUCAAACUUCCCUCUUUGUCAUUUACUUAAUUUUUUCUGCCUUAUAUGCCACUGCCGUUAACUUUUUCAUCCAACUCCGUUAACUAAUAGCAUUUUGCUUAUGUUCCUCUGCCACUACAUGCCAAAUGACCCGAAACAUUGAAUUAAAAAUUGAUAUUUUCGAAUAAAAUUUGAAAUUAAGAUAGCAGAAUUGAAAAUUAAUAUUUUCAAAUAAAAUUUGAAAAUUAAUAUUUUCGGAUAAAUUUGAAAUGACCCGCAACGUGAAUUGAAAAUUUGAAAAAUUUGCUUACGUUCCUUUAUUCCUUUAUGUCACUAUAUGCCAGAUGACCCGUUCUUGCCACACCUUAGCACAUUAACCAUGAGAAUUUUGAAAUUUUCUUUAUUGCCAGCAAUUUUCAAAUUUUAUUCGAAAUAUCAAUUUUCAAUUUUGAAAUUUUCUUUAUUGUUGUACUAAUUUCAAAUUUUAUUCAAAAAUAUCAAUUUUCAAUUCUAUGUUCAUUUGGCAUGUAGAGGCAUAAAAGAAACGUAAGCAAAAUGCUAUUAGUUAACGGAGUUGGAUGGAAAAGUUAAUAGCAAUGGCACAUAAGGCAGAAAUAAUUAAGUGAAUGGCAUAUAGGUAAGUUUAAUUUUUUGCAUGGCAUAGAAAGAACCGGGUAUAAUUUCAGUGGUAUACAGAGAAUUCUCCCCACAUUUAAAGAACUAAGCGUAGUCUAAUUAUAAAACAAAUUUCAGAUUUUGCCUGGAAAUCAUGAGACAAAUCUUUUGAGUCUAAUUAAUCCAUCAUUAGCACAUGUUGGUUACUAUAGCACUUAUGGUUAAUCAUGUACUAAUUAGUCUCAAAAGAUUCGUCUCACGAUUUUCCCAUAACUGUGUAAUUAGUUUUAAUUUUCAUCAAUAUUAAAUGCUUCAUUUAGGUGUCAAAAGAUUCGAUGUGAUGUUUUAUUUUCAAAAAAAAAUUGGGAGAUGGGUCAAUACGUACGGUCACACAUUUAAAGUAUUAAACGUAGUCUAAUCAUAAAACAGAUUUCAGAUUCUGCUUGAAAAUCACGAGACGAAUCUUUUAAGUCUAAUUAAUCCGUCAUUAGCACAUAUUGGUUACUAUAGCAGUUAUGGCUAAUCAUGUAUUAAUAAGUCUUAAAAGAUUUGUCUCACGAUUUAUUCAUAAAUGUUUAAUUAGUUUUAAUUUUCAUCAAUAUUUAAUGUACCAUUUAGGUGUCCAAAGAUUCGAUGUGAUGUUUUUGGACAAUGAUUUUGGGAACUAAACACGGCCUAAGUAUAUACAUAAACAAAUUAAUGUGAGAUCGAAUUAGGCUAUAGAGGGGGAUGAAUAUAGCAAUAGUUUAACUACCCCUGAAAAGAACAAAUUCCAAUUUGUUCAAAAAUUCCAAAAAAGAUAUCUCCGUGAAUAUAGGAGGACAGGAAUGAAGAUAUCGAAAAUAAAACAGAGCGGAAAAAUCGACAGGAAUUUAAAUGCGGAAGCGUAAAAUUUAAAUGCGAUAAAUAAAAUUUUAUUUCACAAGUAAACUUCAAAUUCCAUUUCUUGAAACGAAGUUUACAAAGCUUGGUUCACAAGCUUAACAAUUUUUCAUGAGAGUUAUCGUCACAUCUAGCCAACACAAGCUAGAGUAACAAACCACUCUCGAAAACAUUUUUUAUUCCAUCACAAAGUUACCAACUCAAGCAAUCAUUCCUCCCCUGUUUAUAGGGCUAAUCCUCCAUUGCAAAAUGACCAAAAUACUCUUGAAACUUAGCGGCUACUCCAAGUCCUCACGGUCGUUCGAUCUAGAUCAAACGCUCUAGAUUAGACCACAUCGAGAGGUCAUAUAGAAUCACACACAUCAGUCUUCUCCAUAGAAGAUCUGGCUUCCUUGGCCACCACUCCAAGGAGGUCCAAUCGCCAUCCGCCAUGUGUCCUGGUGGAUCCCGUGCUCCAGCUCGGUACAACACAUGCGCGCACGUCCUCCUUUCUCGCCGGGCCCGCAUGCCAGCGACGCCGCUCCCGCGAGUACGCGAUUUAGCGCGCGCGCUUGCCUCCUCCCGACCAGGCCGCAUGGGCCGGUCGGCCUGCUCCCAAGCUAGCUAGCACCAGUUCGUGCACUCAUACAUGUUGACCCAGCCGAUCCACGUUGCUCUCUUGCACCAACCAGUUAACUAGAUGAACGUACAUACGUAUGCAUGCUGCCAUGAACAUGAGUAUGCAUUCAGCCAUGCACUUGUACUGCUCAUUCUCUUCUUCGAUUUUCCUUCGCAAAUUCCGGCACCUCCGCACGAUGUCCGUUUUUACGUACGCACCUGUGUCCCACCCUGUCACCCGACGUUCUCGAUCAUGCUAGACCACAACUCCCCUUGAGUUUGAUCCCGGUCUGUCGUUGACCAAGGUUGACCCCAAGCACCUGCACACAAACAAUCCGAACCAUCGUCUUGCGGGCACAGAUUUCGCGACCUGAACCUCAUUAGUAAACACACGCUUCGCUCACACUUGCCAAUUUUCCAUCACAAUUAAUCCAAAUCACUCUUGGUUUCACAAUCUCCCCCUUGAUGAAAACAUUGGCAACACUAAAGAAGAGUUUUAAUGAUUUGAAAAUUUAAAAGCAAAAGUUUUGCCAAAAGUCAAACUUGGUCAAAGAGAUGAAAACUUAAAAACAAGUGACAGAAAAUAUUAAAUAUUUUUUAAUUUUCAAAGAUUGCAUAAAUCUCUCCCCCUUUGACAAUGAUGCCAUCAAGACAAAAAGAGCAUAUGCAAAAUGAUGAAAGAUGCACAAUGUAAAUUGUGUGAGCUUUGAAAGUUAUCUAAAAACAUCAAAAUGAGUUGCAUGAACCACAUAAGUGCAAGAAAGUGCCCAAAUUUAGCUAUGUAUGAGCAAAAGAAGUAUGAAUCAUGGCAUAUAGAAGGAAGAUUGUAUCACAAGCAACAAUAGAAGCUUUCAACUGAAAUAAGUAGCUUAGUGUGCAAUGCAAAUUCUAAAGGAGACUUAAGAAGAAGCAAUCGACCACAUAAGAAUGCAAUGAAGACUCCAACUCCACAAAAUGCCCAUGCUUGACGUGCUAGGUCAAAGUCCAUGAAGAAUCAACCAUGUUUUUCAAGAAAAGCACGUCAUCAUCAUUUUUUUUCCCAAUCAUCAUUUUUUUAUGCGGCAUCACAGACACAUUUUUUUAAAAUAGCACAAUUGCGAUGGUACUUCUGAUUUGGUCAAUCAGAACAUCCAGCUGGAGUUCCCAUUAUAGGUAGUCUCCGUGCUAUCUUCGGUACUACUCGCACGUAGAACGCACUCAGUGGUCCGGGCAAGAGCCAAAGAUGACAUAGAUAGCAUGAAAGAUUCAAAACAUGGACCAUAGCAAAGCUUUCCGACAACAUGUACAACUAUUGCAGAGAAGGGGUAAAGCAUGGCAUAAGUAUGAGAAAGAAACUUCAAUUUAAGCAAACUCUUAGAAAAAGCACUUGCACAAGAUUUAUGUUUAUGUGAAAGUUCAAGUUAGGCAAGUUUCAACGCACUUGAUUAAACAUGUCGUGUUCAUACAAGCUACUAGAGCACAUCAGAGCUAGACAAAGGAUCAAACCAGCGCAUAUGUAAAGCAUGCAAAACAUAGUGAUGUGAAAGAGAUAAAAUGCAAAGCUCACAUGCAAGAAAACAUGAUAGAAUGCAAGAUGAGUAUUUAAACAUGAUGCACUAGGUGUAACUGCAGAGCAAAGCACAGAACUCCCCCUGAACUGAAGCCAUAUGGAAUAAACCAAACCAGUUUCAGUGAAUCUCUUAAUGUCAACCCAUGUCACUGCAUAUAGCUCAUAGGGCAUCAAGACAAUUCAACAGCAGAUACAGGAAGAAAUCAAGAGACUCGGCCAAGAAGAUCAAGCUAACAAGAAGCUCAAAAAGGCAACUGAGAAGUCAAAUCAUCAAAGAACACACACUCUCCCUCAAAACUUGUCGAUCAGAUUAAACACAAAGCAUGGAAUUGAAGAAAGUAAGUGCAAAAGCAGUAAGCAUCAACUGACCUGGCAAAAGAUACGCAGACAUGCAAAAGUCCAGCCUAGAUGCUGCAACCAGGCUCACGGAGUCGUACAAGCCCGGUCUAAGUGCCAUCAAGAGGUAAAGGAUCACAUGGCAUGACCUGCAACAAAAAGAUCAAAGCCAAGUGUCCAUCUACCUCCCUACAAGAUCUUAGAAGUGAGAAGCAAUAACCCUCGUUGAUCUAGCACUGGGGUUAAUGAGAAAAGACCUAGGAAUCCAGUACUGUCUCAAUCAAGGUGUACAACCAAAGUUAGAAUAACCAAUAGUAUGAUGCACAUGUUGGUCCCACCUGUUCUGCUCCAACCCUGCCAAGUCACGUCGAGAGUGCACAUCUCGGCGAGGAAAGCGAGAUACACCACUUGAACGACAGUGACAAGCGCACUCAAACCUCUCAGGAACUCUAGGAUCUCCACGCAUGGAAAUCAAAGUCCUAAGACGCUCUUGUCGCUCUUUCUUGGCCUUCUAAAGCAGAACUCAACCAAGUGACCAGACUUACCACAGAAGGUGCAUUCAUACUUGGUUUUCUCUAUAGACUUGGGUUCUUUCUUAGCUUUUGUAGGCUCAGGUUCUUUACGAGUUUCUACAGGUUUGGAUGCUUUCUCAGCUUCUACAGGCUUGGGUUCUUUCUCAGCUUCUACAGGCUUCGGUUUACUAGAGCUAGAGCUAUCUAAGAAUCCAGCUAACUUGAAAACAGUAGGUUUUUCAGCUAACUCUAUAACACCACCCUGAAAGCCAAGAAUCUCAUGCCCUCCUAUCCUCAAAGACUCAGCAAAAUCAUAGCCUAAACCCUGGUUGAACUUGCUCACCUUGGAUUGGUCUAGGAUCAUAUUGAGCUUUUUCUUUCCCUGGGCAAAUUUUUCUAAAGAUUGCUGUAAGUAGAUUUUCUCUCUCUCUAGGACACCUAGGGACUCAUCUUUCUUGACACACUCUUAGCAGCUGCAAGAUCAUGCUCUAGAAUGGCUAGCUGCUCCUUCUUUUUAGCACAUUCUUUCUUAACAGAACCAAGAUCUUGUCUAAGAGAGAUGCAAGAAGCACAAGAAGCAUGAGACUCAACAACACUUUUAAUAUGUUUUAGCUCAGCUUCUAAAUUAGCACAAUUUGAGAAACAAGUUUCAACAAAAGUUUUAGUUGUCAUGAGCUCUAGCAAAUUGUUCCUAAUCUUAAGCAAACCAAAUUUCUUUUCAAGUUCAUCAUUCUCACUAGCAAGAUUUUGACAAAUUCCACAAUUCCUAGACUUAUCAUGAUCAAGCUUUUCUUUCAUUUCUUUUAGCUCUAUUUCAAGCAAACCAAUAUCAAGUUUCAAUUCAUAGCAUUUUGAGCAAGCAUUUUUAACACUAGCAGUCGUCCUAGCUCCUAAGGCACAAGAAUCAUUUCUAGACUUGAGAAGAGCAAUUUCAGCAAGAUAGUUUUUGCAAGAAGAACACUCAUCAUCCUCAGGAAUCAUAGAAUGAAACCCAGCAAUUUCUACUAACAUAUCAUCUUUUUCAGAUUUUAGUUUCUCAAUUUUAGCACCACAUAGCUUGUAUUUUUUAGUGAGAGUAGUCAUCAACCUAGCCAUUCUUUCUCUACUAAUGUCAUCAUCAUUCAAGUCAUCACUCGAAUAAUCAUCAUCACAAGACAGUUCAUUGAUGUCAUUUUCAGAAUAAUCAAGGGAGAGGGAAUCAUAGGGUCGUACCUUAGGAUGCUCUAUUGAGUCAUCCUUGUCCUCAAGUGCCAUGAGACACAUGUUGAUGAAGUGAUCGUCGGCAUAGCAGCACAUGUCGGCGAACUCCUUGUCCUUCUUGGCCUUGUCACGAUCGUCGUCAGAGUCCGAGUCGACGUCACUGAGCUGCACCUCCUCGAGCGCGGCAAGUACUUUGUUGAUCGCCGUUUGCAAUCCCUCCUUCCGGCUCCCACGCCUUUGGCCCUUAGGCUGUUUGGACAUCUUCUCAUUCUUACUUUUCAAAUUUGGACAAUUGGCACAUAUGUGGUUUGGCUCUCCACACUCAAAACAGUUGAGAGCAUUGCCACUCCUUCCUUUCUUUUUGUGCCUCACAUUGUUGUAAGCCCUAGAGAAUUUGCGAGCUAUUAGAGCAAGAUCAUCUUCAGAGAUCUUCUCUAUCUGCUUGUCAGAGAUGGAGUGUAAUGCAGCAAGUGAGAUGCUACCACACACCAAAGUAGUUUCAUUAGCACGAGUGCUAGAGUAAGGCUCAGCUACAAGUUCCAUCAAGUGUUUUUGCCCUUUGCGAUGGAAAAUUUCCAUCUCGUGGGUUUUCAACUUAGAGUAAAGCGCUUCCACAGUGAGGGAGCUCAAACGUGCACUUUCUGUGAUGGAUGUAACUUUCAUAGCCCAAAGUCUAAGAUCAAGAUUGUUGAGGAGCUGUCGAGCCUUUUUAUUUGCAUCAAGCUCAAGACCGACAGACCUCAUGUUUGAAAUAAUCUUCUCAAAUCUCUUAAAGUACUCAUCAAUAGAUUAUCUAGGAUUCAUCUCAAAUCGCUGGUAUUCCCUCUGGAAUUGGUUUUGAUGAACCAAUUUAAUCUCCUUGCUUCCUUCAUGGAAGGAGCAUAGAUUUUUCUAGAUUUCGUUAGCAGUCUUGAGGUGGUUCAAUCUGCUGAACUCCCUAGACCCUAACCCAGCAAGAAGCGCAUUUCGAGCUCGGUAAUUUGCCUCCCAUUUUGCAACGGCAUCUGCCGUGAGAUUUGAGGUAUCCUUGGGUAUUUGGUAGGCAGUGGUAACACUCUGCCAUUCCUUGAACCCUAACCCCUGGAGGUAAGAUUCCAUUCGAGCCUUCCACAACAUAAAAUCUGAGCCACAAUAAAAAAUGAACGGUUUAGUCGAGUACUUCUCCAUAGCCUAUAUUCAGUUCGUUGCCACGGUUAAGUAACAACGAACUAUAACCGGGCUCUGAUACCAAUUGUGAGAUCGAAUUAGGCUAUAGAGGGGGGUGAACAUAGCAAUAGUUUAACUACCCCUGAAAAGAACAAAUUCCAAUUUGUUCAAAAAUUCCGAAAAAGAUAUCUCCGUGAAAAUAGGAGGAUAGGAAUGGAGAUAUCAAAAAUAAAACAGCGGAAAAAAUCGACAGGAAUUUAAAUGCGGAAGCGUAAAAUUUAAAUGCGAUAAAUAAAAUUUUAUUUCACAAGUAAACUUCAAAUUCCAUUUCUUGAAACGAAGUUUACAAAGCUUGGUUCACAAGCUUAACAAUUUUUCAUGAGAGUUAUCGUCACAUCUAGCCAACACAAGCUAGAGUAACAAACCACUCUCGAAAACAUUUUUCAUUCCAUCACAAAGUUAGCAACUCAAGCAACCAUUCCUCCCCUAUUUAUAGGGCUAAUCCUCCAUUGCAAAAUGACCAAAAUACUCCUAAAACUUAGCGGCUACUCCAAGUCCUCACGGCCGUUCGAUCUAUAGAUCAAACGCUCUAGAUUAGACCACAUCGAGAGGUCAUAUAGAAUCACACACAUCAGUCUUCUCCAUAGAAGAUCUGGCUUCCUUGGCCACCACUCCAAGGAGGUCCAAUCGCCAUCCGCCAUGUGUCCUGGUGGAUCCCGUGCUCCAGCUCGGUACAACACAUGCGCGCACGUCCUCCUUUCUCGCCGGGCCCGCAUGCCAGCGACGCCGCUCCCGCGAGUACGCGAUUUAGCGCGCGCGCUUGCCUCCUCCCGACCAGGCCGCAUGGGCCGGUCGGCCUGCUCCCAAGCUAGCUAGCACCAGUUCGUGCACUCAUACAUGUUGACCCAGCCGAUCCACGUUGCUCUCUUGCACCAACCAGUUAACUAGAUGAACGUACAUACGUAUGCAUGCUGCCAUGAACAUGAGUAUGCAUUCAGCCAUGCACUUGUACUGCUCAUUCUCUUCUUCGAUUUUCCUUCGCAAAUUCCGGCACUUCCGCACGAUGUCCGUUUUUACGUACGCGCCUGUAUCCCACCCUAUCACCCGACGUUCUCGAUCAUGAGAGACCACAACUCCUCUUAAGUUUGAUCCCGAUCUGUCGUUGACCAAGGUUGACCCCAAACACCUACACACAAACAAUCCGAACCAUCGUCUUGCGGGCACAGAUUUCGCGACCUGAACCUCAUUAGUAAACACACGCUUCUCUCACACUUGCCAAUUUUCCAUCACAAUUAAUCCAAACCACUCUUUAUUUCACAAUUAAUAAAAAUAAGACUCCAGGAUUAAUUAAGAACAUAAACAAAGCCGCCAUAUUGAUAUUGUACCGACGAUAGCCAGAGUCUCUUCGCAUUCUCUUCUACCUACCUCCAAAGUCACCUCACCCACCGGCGACGGCGAUGGCUCCCACCAUCCGCUCCAGCGCACCAUCAUCCCCUGACGACGACGACUCAUCCGGCCCCAUCGUCAUCUCCUCCGACGGCGACUCAUCCGGCGGCUCCGCUCCUGGCCCCAUUGUCCUCUCCUCCGACGAUGGCGAGGAGGAAGAAGAGCCGGCGAGGAAGAAGAGGCGCAGAGAGAACUGGCCCUUCUGUGACCAGGUCCGGAUCCUCACCGCACUCGCCGCUCACCGCCAGGCCGGCGAGGGGCUACCGUCGGGGCGCGCGCUCUUUGGUGAACUGCAGCAUCGACUCAGCCGGGAGAGUUUCCCCGCGAGGGACCUGUACAAGAAGGUGAACAACCUCAAGGACAGGUACUUGGACGAGCUCUACAGGCCACCCGCCGCCCGCCGCCUUCCACAGGACGCCACGCUCUUCGACCUCUGCCGACAGGUCUGGCCGAGUUACAGCCACAGGUUGAAGCUGUGCACACCUCGUCCUCAUCCUCGUCCUCGUCCUCGUCCUCCGCGCCGGCGUCUUCCUAAUCACUAAUCAGAAUCUAUAUAUAACUAGCUGGCACGCUAACAUUUUGCAAGGAAAGAAGAUUACUACCAGCUUCUGCUAUAUAUGCUACUUUGGUUGUUCUGCUCCUGCAUCAUGCUGCUAUAUAUAUAUGCUACCUAAUUUCAGUGCUUUAGUAGCUAGCGUGCUGCUUAUUAUCUCGAUGCAUACGUAAUCCCUGGACUAAUUUAGUUGGUAUGCAUGCGUUAGCUGAAAAAUAUAUGUAUAUAUGUUAAUGUUACGUCCUUUGUUUAAUUCCAUCAACUUAACCAAAAUAUAGUUUCUUCAGCUCUAGCUGCGUCUGCAAUCCUUUUUUUUUUUUAUCAGCAGUACAAGAGAAUGUCAAUUUUGGUUCUACAUGCCCACGAGAAAAUGGUGAUUAGUCAUGUGAACGACAUGCAACUUACUGCACUUUAUCUCUCUGUGUAACUCGUCCACAAGGCUGCUGGUAAAUAACUGAUGUAAGGCUGUAAUCACUGUAAAAUGUUUUCGAGAAAUAUACUUUUCUAUCUGUUCUAUUGUCCUA